CAUUAAAAAAACUCAAUAAAGCAUUUGAUUUGAAAUAUAUGUAAUCAUAGUAAUUAACAAAUACAAGCAAACAUUUAAAAAUUUUGUCUUUAUCCCCCAAAGUUUAUAUAUUUUAGUUGUCCAAAAUACAUUUUGAGGGAUUUAUCAUUGGGAAAAUGAGGAGUUUCCUAGAAACUGUCUUAUGUGUAAAUGUAUGUGCUCAUGUUCGGGUUGGGGUUGGGGGGAGUAGAAGAAAAGAAAAGAGACUUAUACCUCUUCAUACUGAAAGAAGAUCAUUCUUUUUGCUUGUCCUGGGGAAAACACUCACAAGAUACUUUUGGGAAUGCUGCAGACUGAGCAGGGGAAAAAGGAGGUAAAGCACACACUACCAACAUCAAAAAUGAAGGAGGGGCUAUCACCACAGACCUACAUACAUUAAAAGGCAAAUAAAAAAAUAUAAUGAAUAACUUUACGCCAAUAAACUUGACAAGCGACAUGAAAAGAAAGUUCUUUGAAAAACACAACUUAGCACAAGGAUACAAAAAGAAAUUGAAAAUUUGAAUAAUUCUAUUUUUAAAGUUGAAAUGAUGAUCAAAAGCCUUCCUACAAAGAAAACUGCAGGUCCAGAUGGUUUUCUUUGGGAAUUCUAUCCAACAUAUAAGGAAGAAAUUAUACUAAUCUUACAGAAACUCCUUUAGAAAAUAGAAACUAUUCCCAACUCAUUUUAUGAAGCCAAGAUAACACUGCCAAAAACUUGACAGAAACACUACAAGAAUAUUCGGGACCAACAUCUCUUAAGUUGCAAAAAUCUUUUACAACUAUUAGCAAGUCAAAAGCAGCAAUCCCACAUCAUGAUUAAGUAGGUUUAUUUCAGGAAUGCAAGGUUACCUUAACAUUUAAAAAUCAAUUGAUGUUAUUUACCACAGUAACAAAAUAAGAGAGAAACACCUUAUGGCCAAACCAAUAAAUGCAAAAAAAAAAAAAAAAAAGCCUCUGAAAAAAUUCAAUAGGCAUCAUGAUUUUAAAACAAAAUCUUUGCAAAGUAGGACCUAGAAAGGAACUUUCUGUUAAAUUUAAAAGGCAUCUACAAAAAGAUAUCAUAUUUAGUAGCAGAAUAUUGCUGAAGAGAAGAAAAGCUGGACAAAAAGCCAUACCCAGGCCCUGGAAAGAUUGAUAUUACUACCAGUUAAGUUCCACUAAUAAUGGGUAAGAAAAAUUUUAAAACAGAAAAAUGUCUUCAAUUAUGUUUUUUCCUCAUCCUACCUGGAUAACAGUGAUGUACCCUUCCCACAGCACACUAUAUAUGACCUUCCAGAAAAGGCAGGGGAGGCACUAUUGAAAACUCAAGCAUUUUAUCUUCUAUUUUUUUUUAAUUUUUUUAUUGAAAUACCUUCAGUUACAACGUGUCAAUUUCUGGUAUACAGUACAAUGUCCCAGUCAUGCAUAUACAUACAUAUAUUCGUUUUCAUAUUCUUUAUUUUAUCCUCUUGAUUUUCCUUCAAUAUUUGAUUAGCAUCCCCUGCCUACAUCAUCCUCUGACUCGCCAUCCUCCAGUGAUUCUGAAUGCCACUCCAGAAGCCCGUCGAAACCUGGUGGGUGCAGAGAAGUCUCUUGCUCUUGCUGGAAAAUGACCUAUAAAAAGUGGGAUGCUCACCUGCUACUGUAACAGAGGAACUCACAAGCUGGAAAUGUGUGAGAGGUGUGAUUUCCACAAUUUAAUGCAACCUGACAAAGUUUAUAUUAGCAACUUGCAGAAAGUGCUCCCAUUUCAAUGAUUAAUGGAGGAGAGAUAUCCUGAUGUUGGUGCCAGUGAUCAGAGAAUCCUGCCCUGAAGAGGUGACACUUGACCAUUUGGGAUUUCAGCAGACACAGGAGGAUGGGCAUGUCACUUUGGCAGAGGAAACAAAAUUCACAGAUAGGAAGAGAAACUCUGGGUGCCUAAGUUUGUAUAGCUUGUAAUACAUGAAGUUUGGAUGUGUGCAGACAUUGAUCUCAGUGAUCUGGUAAUUAAAAAGCUGAAGAACAGCUGAAUUCAAGUACUUCCCCACCCCUGCGAAAAUAUCUUGAAUGCCUUGGAACCACCACC